AUUUAAACCAUCACAGACUGCCUCCACGUCCAUCCUUAACAGAGGAAGAGCUAGAUGUGAGACCGUAGAACGGGAUAACCACCAGCAUGGAAAAUCAAAACUUUUCCAAAGGCUUGCCAAAGGGUCACAAUGGAGAAUGUCCAAGGAGCUUUAACAUGUGUCACCCAUGGCAGGCACAAAGGUUGACACCUGCAGCACCCUGCAUUCACUAGAUCUGUGCUGUCUGACAUGAUUUGGAAUAGGAUGUUGUCUGGGGAACAUUGCCUGGAAAUGCCAUCGGACCUGGUGGAGAGACUUCUCCACAGGAAGAUUAUCACAGCUCAGGGCCAAGUCUGAAUGGAACAGACAUCUGGCUGGUCAACAUUCCCCUUGGAAGGCCAGAGCACCUCAGCCUCACACCGCGCAGAAGGUCUUUGUUGGGGACCUUGGUAACUUAGCCAAGAUUACGUGAAUAUG